UGGGGAAUUUUGGACAAUGGGGGAAACCCUGAUCCAGCCAUCCCGCGUGUGCGAUGAAGGCCUUCGGGUUGUAAAGCACUUUUGGCAGGAAAGAAACGUCAUGGGUUAAUACCCCGUGAAACUGACGGUACCUGCAGAAUAAGCACCGGCUAACUACGUGCCAGCAGCCGCGGUAAUACGUUGGGUGCAAGCGUUAAUCGGAAUUACUGGGCGUAAAGCGUGCGCAGGCGGUUCGGAAAGAAAGAUGUGAAAUCCCAGAGCUCAACUUUGGAACUGCAUUUUUAACUACCGGGCUAGAGUGUGUCAGAGGGAGGUGGAAUUCCGCGUGUAGCAGUGAAAUGCGUAGAUAUGCGGAGGAACACCGAUGGCGAAGGCAGCCUCCUGGGAUAACACUGACGCUCAUGCACGAAAGCGUGGGGAGCAAACAGG
rnacentral:rRNA from 1 species